GCGGACGUGGCGAAAUUGGCAGACGCGCUAGAUUCAGGUUCUAGUGGUUUUAUUACCUUGCAGGUUCAAGUCCUGUCGUCCGCACCA
rnacentral:tRNA from 1 species